GCCGAAGUAGCUCAGUUGGUAGAGCGCCUCGCUGUUACCACGAGGCGGUCCCAGGUUCGAGUCCUGGCUUCGGCG
rnacentral:tRNA from 1 species